rnacentral:rRNA from 1 species
GUCUAUUAUGAAGAUGUUGAUAGUCUAGCCUGCUCACUGAUAUAUAAAUAUUAAAUAGCCGCGGUAUCCUGACCGUGCAAAGGUAGCAUAAUCAUUAGUUUCUUAAUUGGAAACUUGUAUGAAUGGUUGGACAAAGAAAUAACUGUCUUUUUGAUUAAAAUUGAAGUUAACUUCUAAGUGAAAAGGCUUAGAUUUUCUAGAGGGACGAUAAGACCCUAUAAAGCUUAUAUAAAUAUUAUAUAUUUUAUAUAUUUUUUAAAAUAGAAAAAGUUUAUAAAUUUUAUUUGGUUGGGGCGACAAAAGUAUAAAUAAAAUAACUGCUAUAAAAUGUUACAAAUUUUUUUGUUUAGCUGUAAGAAUUAAUUGAUCCUUUUUAAAGAUUUUAAGAUUAAGUUACUUUAGGGAUAACAGCGUAAUUUUUUCUGAGAGUUCUUAUCAAAGAAAAAGUUUGCGACCUCGAUGUUGAAUUAAAAUGUCUUUUUAGUGCAGCAGCUAAGAAAGAAGGUCUGUUCGACCUUUAAUUUUUUACAUGAUUUGAGUUCAGACCGGCGAGAGCCAGGUCGGUUUCUAUCUUCUAGAACAAAAGUGGAGUGCUUUAGUACGAAAGGAUUUAGCAGUCAAAAUUCUUUUAAUAGUUGAAAUA